GACGAACGCUGGCGGCGUGCUUAACACAUGCAAGUCGAACGGAAAGGCCCCCACCUUGGUGGGGGUGCUCGAGUGGCGAACGGGUGAGUAACACGUGGGUGAUCUGCCCUGUACUUCGGGAUAAGCUUGGGAAACUGGGUCUAAUACCGGAUAGGACCAUGGUUUAGUGUCUCAUGGUGGAAAAAUUAUUGUUUUGGUGCAGGAUGAGCUCGCGGCCUAUCAGCUUGUUGGUGGGGUAAUGGCCUACCAAGGCGUCGACGGGUAGCCGGCCUGAGAGGGUGGACGGCCACAUUGGGACUGAGAUACGGCCCAGACUCCUACGGGAGGCAGCAGUGGGGAAGAUUGCACAAUGGGCGCAAGCCUGAUGCAGCGGCGCCGCGUGGGGGAUGACGGCCUUCGGGUUGUAAACUCCUUUCGUUAGGGACGAAGCCACACCUUUUUUGGGUGUGGUGACGGUACCUUUGUUAAGAAGCACCGGCUAACUACGUG
rnacentral:rRNA from 1 species